UUGCUCACCCAAUCAGCAGUCAGAACGCAGUCUAGAUGCACAAGCAGCAUAAAAAAAAUGGAUGGAUGAUGAAAGCUGACUGACCAGAGAAACCACAUUGUUGGUGAUGACGCCUCCAAACAGAGUCUUCACUGUGUUCUUCUGUGGAAAAUAUUCAGCAUUCACUCAUGAGACUCUGUGGUGUCUAUUUCAUGAAGUCAUUUGACGCGUGGAGGGGGUGCGUACCAGCUCGUGGGACAUCUCCUCUAUUUUGGUGAUAAGAAGGGCCGCGGGUUGUACGCUUUCCUCUCGCUCUCCUGUAAAGAUGGAGGACGAGUGAGCAACUCUAAAUGAAAUGUUGAGUAUGAGACCACCAUCGACGAUAACACAACUUACCAUCAGGUAACAGACCUUGGCGGUGAAGAUGGCCUGCCGGGCCUCAGGGAUCAUGUAGAGCUGUUGGAUGGUGGAGGCCAGGUAGCAGGUGGCACCCAGGUUGGUAAGACCCACGAAGCGACACUCGGCGCGCACGUCAUCAUGAGGCCAGUAGUCCCACUUGUACGGGGCGUGCGAGGCUGCAAGGAAACAUAAGCGUGUUUGUCAGGGAGCAAUGUGUCAUCGGCAGGGUCCCACAAACACUAAUAGGCUAAUGAUACCGAGCAUGCUGGGGGCCAAGGAGAAGGAGCCAAUGGGCUCUAGCUGACAGUACUUUGACAAGUCACAUAUACAGUAGUUGUAGAAAAAAAGCUUUGUGAUACAAGUGAAAAAAUGCAUUAUUAGCAUUUUUAGUAUGAACUUCAGUCUUUUCUCUUUUUUAGUUUUUUCCCCCCACAAAUAUCUCAACUUUCUUAAAUAAUUAUCUUAAAUUUACUCUUCGUAAUAUUAUGACUUUAUUCCCAUUUAGCUUUCUGCAACCUAAUUUUCCCAAGUUUUCUUGUUAAACUAUAAUUGUAGAACGUGCUGGUGGCCAAUAAAUUUUUAUUUUAUUUUUUUUUUAAAUGGGGGUGGGGGUGCUGCACUUGGGACAUCCCUGGUGUAAACAUAUAAAAAUAUGUAGCAGUUAGAUGUUAGUUGACAUAUGCCUUAUAUUCUUUGAUUAAAUUCUAAUCCAAUUAAAUGAUGACCAUCCCUCAUAAAUAUAAGUGUAAAAAAUGUGCAUCAAAAUGCCAUAAAAUAAAAUUGUACUCCAUUUUUUUAAGUUAAUUUGGUAGCGAGGUGGAGGCCAAGCAUGAGCUCACCCUGCAUGUGCUGCGACAUGACCCAGUUGUGAAGCAGGCGGUAGUUCUCCAGCGAGCCCUUCACUGUCUCCACCAGCAGAUCGUAGGCCGCCGCCCGGGCAGCAUUGGACUUGCAUUUAGGCUGAGCCCGGUCGGCCAGGCUGGGGAGGAGGAAGAGGAGGUUGUGGACGUCCCGAAGGAACUCCUGGCCCUCGCGUGAGAACUUGAAGGGAGGCUUGUGUUUGAGAACGCUGGUGGCAAGACGCAGGAGACCCGUCAGGCCGUCGUCCUCGAUGAUGCCAUCCUGCUGGUCCAGGAUUUCACGGCUGGAAGAGAAGGGGCAUGCCCGCGGUCAAGCUAACACAUUCUAAAGACACAAACCCAAAGUUUGAGGACAUUAUGAGUGAUGAACCAGGAAGGAAAUAUGAACCUUGUGAUUUCUUAUGUUCAACACUUCUUUAGGUACACAAUCUAAUGUGAUCCAACACAAAAAGAUAAAGCUCUGUUUAGCUUGAGCAAUGUGCGUGUUGUUGUGGUUUAAACAGCUCUUUGUGCUGAGAUGUCUUGGUCCACCCAAGUGUACUGUAGCUAAGGUUGAAGGAUGUAAAUGCUCCAGAACACAUUAAUGUAUUGGUGGACCUUCUGAUGCAGUCCGCGAGGUGUCGCGCGAGGGCAUCUAGGUCCAGCAGGGUGGUCUGCACGGAGCCAGCCAGCGAUAGAGCGGGAGAGACCUUCUGUGAGUUCAAAGAGACCAAUGCUAGCCACAGUCCAACCAGCAACAUCACAGUUUACAUUCACAGUCAUGAUCAACAUGUGCUUUGAUUUCAUCAAUUGGAUUAUCACACUCCUGCAAAAAUACAAGUGUUAUUUUACUUCAAAUGUGCAUUUUCUAUGUAAUGAGCUUAUUAGGACCAUCCCACCUGACUGGCAUCUUUGACAUGGAUGUUGUCAAUCAGCUUACACAGCAACCAGAAGUACUCUUUGCAGCCACUUGUUAGGAGGGGCUCUUCCUCGUAGUCCUCCACCUGCACCAUACAUACAUACAUACAUACAUACUCAGGCCAGGACAUGGUCUGCAGCCAGGGUUUGAACAGUGGCAGAGCUGCCAACAUUUGAUGUUUGCAAUCUGGGAAAAUUUGUUCCUGUAAUUCCUGCACUGACCCCAGUUCAGAGUCUAUGUCCUAUGUACAUUCACUGUUGCAAAGCUCAAACUGAGACAGAUCACUGUCCCUGAGGACUUCUGAAGUUUGCACCACGGCACACGCGUGUACACUUCCUACCCUCAGUGGUUUGACAGCUUGAGCAUCAGGCAGGAACUUGAGCAGUGUGGAGGCAGCGAGCAGCAAGAAAGAUCUGUUGAUGGACUCUCCUCCUUCCAGCCCUGACAGGGAGAGCUUGUACAGGCCAUUACACGCCUCGUGUCGCACUGCCGGCUAAGAGCAGCAAGUUAAUUCAUCAAUACAAUAUUGAAGCAUGACAUUUUGCUGCUUUAAAAACUCUGAUGUAUGAAACAUCCCAUGAUACACAUGCUCUUCCUGCACUCACAUGCCAAAAUACAUUUUAAUGUUAUGCUUCAAUGACAGUUCUCUAUAGAUCUUCUCCACAUGCAAGAAUGUGGUGGUGGUCUCACCUCUGGUACGAGCAGGGUGAGUUUCCUGAGCCAGUCGUGCAAGUGGUCACUGUCAGCCAGACUGGACUUGACCGAAGAAGAGCAGUGGGCCCAGCUCACCAGCAGCCACAUGGAGUAGUGAGUCGCUAGUCAGGACACAAAGUGGGCGUGUGAGAUGAUGUCAACAAUAAAAUAAUAAUAAAUAAUACUACAAAUAAUAAAUAAUUUCAAAAGAUAGGUCAAUAAUAAUAAAAGAUCUACCACUGUGACCUCUUACCCUCAUGCCGAGACCUGUGAUUUGACUGAGCCUUCAGAACUCUGUGGAAGAAGACCCCCCCCCCCCCAAAAAAAAUCAAAUAAUCUGUAAUAAGACAAUAUGCAUGUGGGCCAAGUGGGGCACAUCCAGCAAAAAACUGGCAGAGCAGUGGACAACGGCCACAGGACUGGAGCGUUGCAUUGUUUACUUAUGCAAGUGUAACUAAUAUAAUAACCAAUGUACUUUAUUUGUCCAGUGAAACAACUGCUAUACAGUGGGCCCCUGACAGAUUGCGGUUUGAAUUUCACUGCUUUACUCUCAUGUAAAAAAAAAAAAAAAAAAGAACAAUGAUAAAUCAUGCUGUUUCAUGGUUGAAUACGACCUAAUAUUGAAUACUGAAUACCCAACGUCCGGAACACAUUUAUUGCAACACACACGAGCACGGGUUUUACGUCUUAAAUGUCUUAUUUUCUCUGAUUAAAUAUGAUGACUAUAUGGCUGUUAUUUCAUGUUCUCAAUGUUAAAAGCUGUAUUUAGAAGGCUGUAAACAGGUUUUCUAUGCUUUAACUAUGAAAAUAGUCAAUUUAUUCUACUUUCUACUCAAUUCUUUCUACUUUGCGGAAAUUCACUUAUCACGGCCAGGUCUGGAACCAAUUAGCUAUGAUAACUGCAUUCCAUCACCUGUGUGCAAGGUUGUCAUAGGUGUAAGCCACAUUGAUCAGAUGUUGAAUCAGGUUGGUUCCUUGGACGAGGUUGAGAAAGACCUGUGAAGAGACACGCAACCGCCACGAUGACAACAAUAACAAUAGGAAGUGGACAACGUCUUUCUGAUGCCGUCGUGCUUACACACCUCAGUGAGUCUUGGGAUGUGGACAGUCUUGCCGUGGUCUACUGUGGACUUGCGGGAUUUGCCCGGCCACGCACGUUUGCGCUGGCUGUCGGUGAGGCCGGACCAGGAGAAAAUGUCAUGGUAGGCCAGGUCCAGGUCUGUGGGGUCCACGGCAAACUGGCAGAUGAGUUUCAGGAGGCAGGCCAAACAGUCCAGCAGCCACUGCAGAAGUGACAGGAUGUAGACAGAGUUGUCGUAUGCAUAUACUAACAUCCAGCCAAGAGGUUUACAGGACAGGGAAACUAAAGAUUUAAUUUCAUGAGACCAAAGCUGGCUUACCACAGUCCAUGAUUCCUGGUCUUUGGGCUCUAGGAUGCCUGAGUUGAAUAUCUCCAGGAGGAGCUGCAGGCCUCCAGACGAAACAAACUGAAAGAGAGAGAAAAAAGUCUGAAACCAGACUGAAGACCAGUUCUCUCCUCUUGUUUGCAAUAUGCUUUUACAUAACUUGACCUUCCUGACAGCCAUAGUUUUUACCUUGCAGCUCCACAAGUUCUUGCUGUUCUCUAUCUGAUCCUCACUCGAGUCGUCAGAGUCAGGGUACAGGUCACUGUAGCUUCCCUACAAGCAGGAGAACCACCAUGGUGACGUUCACAAGUCACACACCAUGUCCAUUUUAGGACUACAGCAAGGACCAGCGUCAAACACGUCAUCACUUGUUAGUUAAAAUAGUAAUAAUACUUAAUGAAGCUGCUGUGAUGGCCAAAGCUUGACCAUUGAGAAGAUUAUUUCCAUUUACAGUAAUCCCUCGGUUAUCGUGGUUAAUUGGUUCCAACCACCGGCCGUGAUAAGUGAAUUUCCGCAAAGUAGGAUUCCGUCUUUAUAAAUGGGGGGAGGGGUGUCACUUUUGAUGUACUACAUUGCUGAUGGGGAUGUCAUAAAACUUCAUGUCAAGAAAUCCAAACUACCCCUAUAACGCCUGACUGAAAGCUGGGUGAAAAUCAUAAAAAAAAUUUAGUUAAAUGUAAGGCCAGAGGCGUAAAUAUUGUAGUUAAACAUACCUUGAUCCUCUAGGUAUGGGGGCCGGAUUCGGCCCGCCAUAUUGUUUUAUGUGGCCCGCAAAAGCGUGGAAAUAACGCAUGUCAAAAAGACAUAUUUAAAAAUUAUCAAUAUUUUUAAAAUUCUAUUAUUUGUUAUUUAUU